rnacentral:lncRNA from 1 species
CAAGGAUCUGUAACCCCAUCUCCAGGGGAUCCAACAGGCAAACACAUGGUACACAUACAUGCAUGCAGAUAAAACUAAUACACAUUAAGUAAUUCAAUCUAAAUUUUUUAAAUGUUUAAAAUUCUAUUUCACUCCAUUCUAAACAUUUUCUAAUGGUAUGUCACUGUGAUUUGAUUUUGACCUUUGUCCCCUUUCCAGCCUCAUCGGGACAGUGAUAUUUAUUUUUUAAAAAAUCCUCCAUGAACUUCACUUAAUGAGAUUUGAUGUGUGUGUGCAGCCUUAAUACUUCCCUCCAUGCAAAACAAUAAACACACUCACCAACCUCUGUACUCUCUACCCCACAUGCUCCAUUCUGUUCAACCCACAAGAAGCCACAGGUCUUCCUGUCACUAAAGCCUAUUGUGUGCUUUUAGAAUUUUGUAUGAACACAAUCAGAUUGGAGCUUCCAUUUGGCAACUCGUUCUCUGGUCUGAAGCACUUCCAUUAAUGUUCAUGGCAGGUGUCUACUUCCCAAGACAAGGACAGAGCCACAGUGUACUUAUUACAUCAGGAGAUUAAUGAUCAUGUCAGUCAGUUUACAGAAGUUGAUUUGCUGUGCUCCAAGUGGUGCGUGCAGAAAUGCUGACGUCACAGGGAAGGAUGCAUCGUGUAUCUGUGAUGUGAAUGCUGACUCCUGCUUUACAAAAUCCACACAAUGCUGGGGAAUGCUUAGAAAAUGUCAAAAGAAUUUCAAAAAAACAAACAAACAAAAAAACCAAAACAGUCAUACAAGUUAGGUAGUUACAGUCAUUUUCCACCAGUUUUGUUGGUUUAUAUGUAUAUGCAUUUAUGUGUAGGUGAUUGUUGAUAAAUAUACUUAUUGCAAGCAUUUUUAAAGUACUGGAUUUUCUUAAUUUAAAAUAUGUAUAAUAUAAUAAGUGUGCACAUACAUUAUGUGUAUAGACAAAA